rnacentral:rRNA from 1 species
UACGAAGGGGGCGAGCGUUGUUCGGAAUUACUGGGCGUAAAGGCGCGUAGGCGGCCCGAUCAAGUUAGAUGUGAAAGUCCUGGGCUUAACCUGGGGACUGCAUUUGAUACUGAUUGGCUUGAAUUCGGGAGAGGAUAGCGGAAUUCCCAGUGUAGAGGUGAAAUGCGCAGAUAUCGGGAGGAACACCAGUGGCGAAGGCGGCACUCUGGGCCGGUACUGACGCUGAGGAGCGAAAGCGUGGGGAGCGAACAGG